AUUGAACGCUGGCGGCAGGCUUAACACAUGCAAGUCGAGCGGGGGAAGGUAGCUUGCUACCGGACCUAGCGGCGGACGGGUGAGUAAUGCUUAGGAAUCUGCCUAUUAGUGGGGGACAACAUCUCGAAAGGGAUGCUAAUACCGCAUACGUCCUACGGGAGAAAGCAGGGGAUCUUCGGACCUUGCGCUAAUAGAUGAGCCUAAGUCGGAUUAGCUAGUUGGUGGGGUAAAGGCCUACCAAGGCGACGAUCUGUAGCGGGUCUGAGAGGAUGAUCGGCCACACUGGGACUGAGACACGGCCCAGACUACUACGGGAGGCAGCAGUGGGGAAUAUUGGACAAUGGGGGGAACCCUGAUCCAGCCAUGCCGCGUGUGUGAAGAAGGCCUUAUGGUUGUAAAGCACUUUAAGCGAGGAGGAGGCUACUCUAGUUAAUACCUAGGGAUAGUGGACGUUACUCGCAGAAUAAGCACCGGCUAACUCUGUGCCAGCCGCCGCAGUAA
rnacentral:rRNA from 1 species